AACUGACCUCCCCCUUAACCAAUCCUCUUUUUCAGUUCUUCAGUUCUCCCCCGGUGGGCACUUCAGGGAGGAUGCUACUCCACAGGUUCCAGCUGGCUUGCCGCCUGACUCGCCGUCUCUGCCUGCUGGGAACUUGGUUGUCCACCUCCAUUCCCACGUUUGAAUGGUGUAUCGAUCCAAGAGCUGGCGUGCCCUCGGACUGACCGCCCAUCAAGAUGGUGGCGCCAUUACCAAGCUGGUUCUCGCCGCCGUCACCUGAUGCGGGAUGGAUGGAGCUCUGGGGGUGUAGGACUGGAUCUCUGGCCCCCCUCGAUUCCCCUUCUUCUUCCUGGGACCAGGAAUCCCUACUCUCUCAUUUUAACCCUGAGAUGGAAUCCGUAGCUUGUGAAGAGAAUGCCCUGCCUCCUAGCUGGCUCUGCUGCAAGGAAGAAAAGCAGCCUGGACACAUUCAGCAGGGACAGCUCCCUCUUCAGGCAAAGUGAGGCAAUCGCCUCAGGCAGGACCUUUGGGGGUCUUGUGGGGUGUGUGUGUGUGUGUGUGUGUGUGUGUGUGUGAGAGAGAGAGAGAGAGAGAGACAAAAUGCACCCCUGCUUGCAUCGCCACCACCGCGGCUGAAUACACACUCCACGCUGCUGCCUACCCGUGUAGGCAGACACUUAGAUUAUGGGAGCUGCUGCCUACCCGUGUGGGCAAAGGGGGCGGAUGGCGCACCAGCAAUCCUUGGGCCAGCCCUGUGUGGUGUGGGGGGACAACCAGCAAUGAGCCCAUGAUGCUGCUGCCAUGAAGGAAUCUGCACUCAAAUUCUCACUUCAGAUUAAUAAAUCAGGGCUACUAUCAGCUUGAGUCACUGCAAUUUCCCCCGCUUCACUGUGUUCUUUCCGUGCCUUUAGCAAUUGCUUGGGAGGAGAUGAGAGAUUCAUCAGGUGCAGCUUCCCCCAGCUUGGAGAAGUGAUGAGCUUUACCUCUAUUCAGAGGCACAAUAACCCCCAGA